rnacentral:rRNA from 1 species
UACGUAGGGUGCGAGCGUUAAUCGGAAUUACUGGGCGUAAAGCGUGCGCAGGCGGUUGGGAAAGAUCGAUGUGAAAUCCCCGGGCUCAACCUGGGAAUGGCAUGGAUGACUAUCCGACUGGAGUACGGCAGAGGGGAGUGGAAUUCCGCGUGUAGCAGUGAAAUGCGUAGAUAUGCGGAGGAACACCGAUGGCGAAGGCAGCUCCCUGGGCCUGUACUGACGCUCAUGCACGAAAGCGUGGGGAGCAAACAGG